ACACCAGUUGAUCCUGCUGGAGGGUAUUGCUAUCAGGGUGCGACUAAGCCAUGCAAGUCUGCUCAUCCACCUGGAUGAGCGGCGGACGGCUGAGUAACACGUAGUCAAUCUGCCCUAAGGACAGGGAUAACCUCGGGAAACUGAGGCUAACCCCUGAUAGGCCAUCUAUGCUGGAAUGCUUGAUGGCUUAAAUCACUGGCGAAAUGGAGCUAGCUGGCCUUAGGAUGAGACUGCGGCUGAUUAGGUAGUUGGUGAGGUAACGGCUCACCAAGCCGAUAAUCAGUAGGGGCAAUGGGAGUUGGAGCCCCCAGAAGGGCACUGAGACAAGGGCCCUAGUCCUACGGGAUGCAGCAGGCGCGAAACUUUUGCAAUGUGCGCAAGCAUGACAGAGGUACCCUGAGUGAUGAAAGCUUUUGCUUUCAUCUUUUGGCUAAUCUAAAAAGUUAGCAGAAUAAGAUCUGGGUAAGACUCGUGCCAGCCGCCAUGCUAUGCAUUUUGCACCAGCAUAGGCACGGCACGCGGUAAUACGAGCAGAGCGAGUGAUGCCCACGAAUAUUGGGUCUAAAGAGUCCGUAGCGGGUCUAAUAAGUCCACUGUGAAAUCUGAGGGCUUAACCCUUCAGGCGUGCAGUGGAUACUGUUAGACUUGGGAGUGGGGGAGGCCAGAAGUACUUGUGGGGUAGCGGUAAAAUGCUAUAAUCCUACAAGGACUCCCAGUGGCGAAGGCGUCUGGCCAAAACACAUCCGACCGUGAGGGACGAAGGCUAGGAGAACGAAUCGGAUUAGAUACCCGAGUAGCCCUAGCAGUAAAUUAUGCGGACUGUGGUGUUGCCAAAACCUCGGGUUUUGGCAGUGCUGUAGCGUAGGUGUUAAGUCCGCCACCUGGGGAGUACGGCCGCAAGGUUGAAACUGAAAGGAAUUGGCGGGGGAGCACCACAAGGCGUGGAUGCUGCGGUUCAAUUGGAUACAACGCCGGGAACAUUACUAGGGGAGACGGCACUAUGAUGGCCAGACUGAAGAUCUUGCCUGAGGAGCCGAGAGGUGCUGCAUGGCCAUCGUCAGCUCGUGGUGCGAACUGUCAGGUUAAGUCCUGCAACGAGCGAGACCCUCGUGUGCUGUUGCAAACUCUAUCUCCGGAUAGGGUGCACACUGCACAGACUGCCCGCGUUAAGUGGGAGGAAGGAGAGGGCGACGGUAGGUCAGUAUGGCCUCAAUCCCUUUAGGCUACACGUGGCAUACAAUGCUCAUGACAAUGGGCUGCCACCCCGAGAGGGGAAGCUAAUCCCACAAACAUGAGCUCAGUACAGAUUGAGGGUUGCAACUCACCCUCAUGAAGCUGGAAUGCCUAGUAAUCGCUUGUCAUCAUCGAGCGGUGAAUAAGUCCCCGCUCCUUGCACACACCGCCCGUCAAGUCACCCAAACCGGGUUUUGGUGAGGCUAUCUCUUAUGAGGUAGACGAACCAAAAUUUGGUGAGGGGGGCUAAGUCGUAACAAGGUAUCCGUAGGGGAACCUGCGGAUAGAUCACCUCCAUA
rnacentral:rRNA from 1 species